ACAAUCCAGAACCACAUUAUGAUAAGAUAUGAGUCCAUCAUUGGAGAGGAUAUGAUCCUAAUCUUAUAUUUUUUAUUGACUGAGAUAAUGAGUAUACAGAUAAGUUAGGUUUUGUUGGUGUGCAACAACUUAUUAUACUUGCUCUGUCUGGAAAGUAUUUUGAAUUAGUAGGAGAUGGAGUUAGGACAUUAUUAUCUUUUUAUUUCUGAGGAUUAUUCUUCCAUUCAUUUGUUUGCUACUGAUGAAUGUGAAUUAGCUGUUGAUGUACUUGAUAUUGUCAUGCAUGAUGGAUCAUUUUUUACUUUUACUAGCAGUUGAUAAAGGUACAAACUGUAGUGAUAGUGACAAUGAUAAUGGAAUGAUUAUUAGUUGUUCAGAAUAUGGUACUGAUGAAUUGAAAAUUUUUGUUACAAAAAAGAAAAGAACUAUAACUGAUAGUUUGCAAGAUUGUAAGGAUAUUGUUAAGGAUACAACCUUCAAGGAAAUUGCAGAGCAAAACAAAACUUUGUGAUAUGGCUAAGAAGGUAGAAUUGGUUGUGUUGAAAAGUGAUAAAAGAAGACUGAGAUAUAAAUGUGUUGCUGAAGGUUGUCCAUUUCUAUGUCUGAUUUCUGGGGAUCAAACCACUCAUGGAUUUAGUGUCAAAACACUAGUAGAUCAUAUAGAGUGUGGAAUAUCAUAUGACAACUCCUUAGUUGAUUACACAACAAUAACUCAGUAUUUUAAGGAGAAAUUGCAAAGUGACCCUAAGUACAAGAUCAAAGAGAUGAAGGCUAAUUUACAUAGAGUGUUUGAGUUAAAUGUAAGUGAAGUCAAGUUCAAAAGAGCUAAAAGAGAGAUACUAGAGACUCUCGAUGGUAGCUUUAUAGACUCUUACAAUAAAUUAGAGGCUUAUGCUACUGAAUUGAGGAGAUGCAAUCCAGGGUCUGAUAUUAUGAUUAACUUGUCUAAGGAGGAACUAUCUAAUGGUAGGAGAAUUUCUUAGGAUGUAUAUAUCUACUUCAAGGCAUUGAAGAUGGGAUUUAAGGCAGGGUUAAGGCCAUUUAUUAGGUUAGAUAGUAAUUUCUUAAAGGAAAAGCUAAGGGACAAAUAUUGAUUGCUCUUGACAAGACAAUAUGAACUGUUUCUACCCUCUAGCUUGGGCGGUCGUAGACAAAGAGACCAAAGGACUUGGAUUUGGUUCAUGCAACAGUUACAACAUUCACUUGAUCUUUAAAAUGGUGAAGAAGUGACAUUCAUAUCAUAUAUGCAGAAGGGUCUGCUUGAUGCAAUAAGAACAGUUUUACCUGAAGCACAUCAAAGAUAUUGUGCAAGACAUAUUGAGACAAAUUGGUGCAAAAAAUACGAUAAAGGUGAGCUGAAGAAGUUGUUUUGGUGGGCUUCAUGGUCCUCAUUUUCAGAGGAGUUUGAAGACCAACUUGAGGAGAUUAAGAAAGUUGAUGAAGAGUCUGGGCAGGACCUACUGAACAGGGCCUUUUUUGAUACGAUAUGCUAGAAUCAAGAUGUGAACAAUAAUUUUACAGAGUCAUUCAAUGCUUAGAUACUUGACGCAAGAUACACGCCAAUUAUUGUAAUGUUGGAAGACAUUAGGGUCAAAAUAAUGAAAAGGCUGGCACAAAAAGAGGCUGCUUCUAUGAAGAAGACAGAUGGUGGGUUUAUUCCCAAAAGUGAACAGUUGUAUAAUGAGUAUUUGAAGAUAUCCAAGAUUUGUAAGGUGAGUGGCAAUGGAGACAAUGGCUAUGAGGUCACUUAAGGUUAUGAUAGACACAUUGUCAAUCUUAGGGAGAAAAAGUGCACAUGUUGGAUAUGGGAUCUCACUGAAAUUCCAUGUCCAUAUGCAAUCAGGGCCAUGGAGCAUGAAAAAAUGUUACCAAAGACUGAUAUUGAUUGGUAUUACAGUAAGGAGGCAUCAUUGACAGUUUACAAACAUAAAUUGCAACCUGUCAAGGAAGAACCAUUUUGUAAAUGUGACCCUUCACAAGCUAUUGAAUCCACCAGAAAGGGUCAAGCUUGUUGGCAAACCUAAAGUUAUGAGGGAUAGAGAAAAGAAUGAAGCUGUUAAGAGGCAAGGUGAAUGGAAGUAAUCAAGGAAAGAAUACAAGGCAGGAAAAGAAAGCUACUAAGCAAGUAGAUAAGGACAGUGUUAUGGGAAAGAAAAGGCAACCUAGGAGAGGUUUGAUUGAUGAAGAGGAACCUUCUGAGGAAGACAUCAACUUCACCCCCCCCCCCC